rnacentral:rRNA from 1 species
UACGUAGGGGCAAGCGUUGUCCGGAAUUAUUGGGCGUAAAGGGCGCGCAGGCGGUCUUCUAAGUCUGAUGUGAAAUCCCACGGCUUAACCGUGGAAGGUCAUUGGAAACUGGAGGACUUGAGUGCAGAAGAGGAGAGUGGAAUUCCACGUGUAGCGGUGAAAUGCGUAGAGAUGUGGAGGAACACCAGUGGCGAAGGCGACUCUCUGGUCUGCAACUGACGCUGAGGUGCGAAAGCGUGGGUAGCGAACAGGAUUAGAUA